rnacentral:rRNA from 1 species
AUGACAUCUCGUAGUGAGGUGUUGUCUAUUUAUAAGCGUUUUGCUGCCAUGGUUCAUACUCAGUUUUCUUCACCCAUUCGUGUUUUUCGUGCUGACUCCGCUGGCGAGUAUAUCUCUAAGAUGUUGCGUGGUGUCCUUGCUGAGCAGGGUACUCUUGCCCAGUUCUCUUGUCCUGGUGCUCAUGCUCAGAAUGGCGUGUCUGAGCGCAAGCAUCGUCACCUUCUUGAGACGGCUCGUGCGAUGAUGAUCGCCGCCUCUCUUCCGCCUCAUUUUUGGGCCGAGGCUAUCUCCACUUCUGCCUAUCUCAUCAACCUUCAGCCGUCCGCUGCUUUGCAGGGUGGCGUUCCUUUUGAGCAUCUUUUUGACCGUUCUCCCGAUUAUUCGAUGCUUCGCUUGUUUGGUUGUGUUUGCUAUGUUCUUCUUGCCCCUCGCGAACGCACCAAACUGACCGCUCAGUCUGUUGAGUGUGUCUUCUUAGGCUACAGUGAUGAGCAUAAGGGUUAUCGUUGUUGGGAUCCUAUCGGUCGUCGGAUGCGUAUCUCUCGAGACGUGACUUUUGAUGAGUCUCGUCCCUUUUACCCACGCCAUCUUCCUCGAUUUUUUCAGUGGAAGAUAUCUCUUUCCUCACUUUUCCUGACUCACCUAUCACCCCCGUCGCGCCUGUGCCUAUUCGUUCCACUCCCUCUACUUCUCCACCUCUAG